rnacentral:rRNA from 2 species
GCUAUACAUGCAGUCGAGCGGACUUAAAAAGCUUGCUUUUUAAGUUAGCGGCGGACGGGUGAGUAACACGUGGGCAACCUGCCUGUAAGACUGGGAUAACUUCGGGAAACCGGAGCUAAUACCGGAUAAUCCUUUUCUACUCAUGUAGAAAAGCUGAAAGACGGUUUACGCUGUCACUUACAGAUGGGCCCGCGGCGCAUUAGCUAGUUGGUGAGGUAACGGCUCACCAAGGCGACGAUGCGUAGCCGACCUGAGAGGGUGAUCGGCCACACUGGGACUGAGACACGGCCCAGACUCCUACGGGAGGCAGCAGUAGGGAAUCUUCCGCAAUGGACGAAAGUCUGACGGAGCAACGCCGCGUGAGUGAUGAAGGUUUUCGGAUCGUAAAACUCUGUUGUUAGGGAAGAACAAGUACGAGAGUAACUGCUCGUACCUUGACGGUACCUAACCAGAAAGCCACGGCUAACUACGUGCCAGCAGCCGCGGUAAUACGUAGGUGGCAAGCGUUGUCCGGAAUUAUUGGGCGUAAAGCGCGCGCAGGCGGUCCUUU